rnacentral:rRNA from 1 species
AGCGAACGCUGGCGGCAGGCUUAACACAUGCAAGUCGAGCGGGCAUCUUCGGGUGUUAGCGGCGGACGGGUGAGUAACGCGUGGGAACGUGCCUUCUGGUUCGGAAUAACUCAGGGAAACUUGAGCUAAUACCGGAUACGCCCUUUUGGGGAAAGGUUUACUGCCGGAAGAUCGGCCCGCGUCUGAUUAGCUAGUUGGUGGGGUAACGGCCUACCAAGGCGACGAUCAGUAGCUGGUCUGAGAGGAUGAUCAGCCACACUGGGACUGAGACACGGCCCAGACUCCUACGGGAGGCAGCAGUGGGGAAUAUUGGACAAUGGGGGCAACCCUGAUCCAGCCAUGCCGCGUGAGUGAUGAAGGCCUUAGGGUUGUAAAGCUCUUUUAUCCGGGACGAUAAUGACGGUACCGGAGGAAUAAGCCCCGGCUAACUUCGUGCCAGCAGCCGCCGUAA